UACGUAGGUGGCUAGCGUUGUCCGGAUUUACUGGGCGUAAAGCGCGCGCAGGCGGUCGUUCAAGUCGCGUGUGAAAGCCCCCGGCUCAACUGGGGAGGGUCACGCGAUACUGAUCGACUCGAAGGCAGGAGAGGGUAGUGGAAUUCCCGGUGUAGUGGUGAAAUGCGUAGAUAUCGGGAGGAACACCAGUGGCGAAGGCGGCUCACUGGGCACCACCUGACGCUGAGGCGCGAAAGCGUGGGGAGCAAACAGG
rnacentral:rRNA from 1 species